UGGGGAAUAUUGCACAAUGGAGGGAACUCUGAUGCAGCGACGCCGCGUGAACGAAGAAGGCUUUCGAGUCGUAAAGUUCUUUUAUAUGGGAAGAUAAUGACGGUACCAUAAGAAAAAGCCCCGGCUAACUACGUGCCAGCAGCCGCGGUAAUACGUAGGGGGCUAGCGUUGUCCGGAAUCACUGGGCGUAAAGGGUUCGCAGGCGGAAAUGCAAGUCAGGUGUAAAAGGCAGUAGCUUAACUACUGUAAGCAUUUGAAACUGCAUAUCUUGAGAAGAGUAGAGGUAAGUGGAAUUUUUAGUGUAGCGGUGAAAUGCGUAGAUAUUAAAAAGAAUACCGGUGGCGAAGGCGACUUACUGGGCUCAUUCUGACGCUGAGGAACGAAAGCGUGGGUAGCAAACUGG
rnacentral:rRNA from 1 species